GACAGAGGGUGCAAACGUUGUUCGGAAUUACUGGGCAUGAAGCGCACGUAGGUGGUCCGCUAAGUCGCGUGUGAAAUCCCCCGGCUCAACCGGGGAAAUGCGCGUGAUACUGGCGGGCUUGAGAUCGGGAGGGGUGAAUGGAACUCCAGGUGGAGCGGUGAAAUGCGUAGAUAUCUGGAGGAACACCGGUGGCGAAAGCGGUUCACUGGCCCGACACUGACACUGAGGUGCGAAAGCUAGGGUAGCAAACGGG
rnacentral:rRNA from 1 species